GAUGAACGCUGGCGGCGUGCCUAAUACAUGCAAGUCGAGCGAACGGACGAGAAGCUUGCUUCUCUGAUGUUAGCGGCGGACGGGUGAGUAACACGUGGAUAACCUACCUAUAAGACUGGGAUAACUUCGGGAAACCGGAGCUAAUACCGGAUGAUAUUUUGAACCGCAUGGUUCAAAGGUGAAAGACGGUCUUGCUGUCACUUAUAGAUGGAUCCGCGCUGCAUUAGCUAGUUGGUAAGGUAACGGCUUACCAAGGCAACGAUGCAUAGCCGACCUGAGAGGGUGAUCGGCCACACUGGAACUGAGACACGGUCCAGACUCCUACGGGAGGCAGCAGUAGGGAAUCUUCCGCAAUGGGCGAAAGCCUGACGGAGCAACGCCGCGUGAGUGAUGAAGAUCUUCGGAUCGUAAAACUCUGUUAUUAGGGAAGAACAUAUGUGUAAGUAACUGUGCACAUCUUGACGGUACCUAAUCAGAAAGCCACGGCUAACUACGUG
rnacentral:rRNA from 1 species